rnacentral:tRNA from 2 species
UGGGGUAUAGCUCAGUGGUAGAGCAUUUGACUGCAGAUCAUGAGGUCCCCAGUUCAAAUCUGGGUGCCCCUU